rnacentral:rRNA from 1 species
GACGAACGCUGGCGGCGUGCUUAACACAUGCAAGUCGAACGGAAAGGCCCUGCUUUUGUGGGGUGCUCGAGUGGCGAACGGGUGAGUAACACGUGAGUAACCUGCCCUUGACUUUGGGGUAACUUCAGGAAACUGGGGCUAAUACCGGAUAGGAGCUCCUCCUGCAUGGUGGGGGUUGGAAAGUUUCGGCGGUCGGGGAUGGACGCGCGGCUGAUCAGCUUGUUGGUUGGGUAGUGGCUUACCAAGGAUUGGGAGGGUACGCGGCCUGGGAGGGGGACCGGCCACAUGGGGCCUGCGAUACGGCGCAGACGCCAACGGGAGGCAGUAGUGGCGAAUAUGACCCAAUGGGCGGAAGCCUGAUGCAGCGACGCCGCGGUCGGGAAGACGGUCUUUGGGUUGUAAACCGCUUCCGCCUGAGACGAAGCGGGUGUGACGGUAAUGGGUAAAUAAGCACCGGCUAACUACGUG